rnacentral:rRNA from 1 species
UGGGGAAUUUUGGACAAUGGGGGAAACUCUGAUCCAGCCAUCCCGCGUGUGCGAUGAAGGCCUUCGGGUUGUAAAGCACUUUUGGCAGGAAAGAAACGUCAUGGGUUAAUACCCCGUGAAACUGACGGUACCUGCAGAAUAAGCACCGGCUAACUACGUGCCAGCAGCCGCGGUAAUACGUAGGGUGCAAGCGUUAAUCGGAAUUACUGGGCGUAAAGCGUGCGCAGGCGGUUCGGAAAGAAAGAUGUGAAAUCCCAGAGCUCAACUUUGGAACUGCAUUUUUAACUACCGGGCUAGAGUGUGUCAGAGGGAGGUGGAAUUCCGCGUGUAGCAGUGAAAUGCGUAGAUAUGCGGAGGAACACCGAUGGCGAAGGCAGCCUCCUGGGAUAACACUGACGCUCAUGCACGAAAGCGUGGGGAGCAAACAGG